UGGUCGGUAGUGUAAUGGUAGCAUAUGAGACUGUCCCUCUUAAGGCUCGGGUUCGAUCCCCGGCUGACCAG